rnacentral:misc_RNA from 1 species
GAUGAAGAACGUAGCGAAAUGCGAUAAGUAAUGUGAAUUGCAGAAUUCAGUGAAUCAUCGAAUCUUUGAACGCACCUUGCACCCUUUGGCAUUCUGAAGGGUAUGCUCGUUUGAGUGUCAUUGUACUCUCACACUCCCGAUCUUUGCAUUGGGAGCAGUGGACUUGGGUUUGCUGCUUCACCGUCGCUUACCUCAAAUAGGUUAGUGCAACUCUUGGUUGGACAUAGUACGGCGUGAUAAGUGUUCUUCGCCGGUGCCUCGCAAAGAGGGUGGCCGAUCGGGAUGUUGUGCUCCAAACCGUCUUCGGACAAUCUCUGACGACUUGACCUCAAAUCGAGUAAGACUACCCGCUGAACUUAAGCAUAUCAAUAAGCGGAGUA